AUGGCUGCACCCAUUCUCGGGGGCCCUGAGUCUUCAGGCACAUGCAUCCCUGCCUGGGCUGGUGGCUACAUGCAGACUUUCCUGUUAUCGUCCCGAAUCUGGCCCAGCCCCUCCAGUUCUGAUGCUGCCUACCUGAGUGGGACCUGCCUUCCGACUGAUGGUUUCUCCUCCAUGGGGCCUCAGGAAAGGAAACACUGCUGCCAGUUUGGGAUGUGUCCUGGCCCACGGGUGUACGUGGAAUCCUUAUUUUCCUACAAAGCAACAGACAUGGAGAAAGACACAGGUUUGAGGGCACCCUCUUUGCUAUGCCCACCUUGGUACUUUGUAAACCAGGAGUUUUCCCCCUGGUAUCUUCCUCCCUUUUCUCUCCUCAGAGAAUCCUCCAAGAACAGGUUCACUACCACCUUUCCCCACUGUACUUUGAUGGAGUUCCCUCCUGCACCACCCUCUUCACAGCCCAAACCAAGGGGGGCCAAGGGAAGGCUGCUCCACAAGGAGAGCAAGCGAGGUAGUCACUCAGUGCCUGGGGAGGAUGCCUUUUUCAGGGUGUGGUAAAGAGCCACGGAUGCCUAAACUCCUGCAAAAUAAUAUCCAGGGAACCGACAUCACCAGGCUGUUCCCAGCCUGCUUUAGAGAAGUAUCCCAGGCUGGAAGAUAGUUUCAUGACUCUGCUUUCCAGAGAGGCAAAACCAGAUGGAGAGAGAGAGAGAUUUGCCUGAGGACAUCCUGACUCCUGUACCUGUCAGGCCCUAACCAGGAUUCCACAGAGAAACAGCUUGCUCUGGAACAUGGUAUGACUCAGUCUCUCUUUUGGUUUUAGGAAAACAAGAUACCAUGAAAAACCAUCAAUUUUGGCCAUUAGGAUGCUUGGGUUCUGCUCUUCUUGCACAGUUAGACUACUUCAUUAAGAACUUUCCAGGUUUUCUAUGGUCUCUCUAUGAAAGAUGAAUGAGGAGUACAUCUUAUUCCUCCCUGAGAUUUGUAAGUUUUAAAAAUUCAAGUCAUGGAAGGAAGGAGCUGGGAAUUAAAGUAGCAGCAUGCAAUGCAAAGAACCUGCUCUCCGAAUCCUGGUUCUUCUACUUACUAACUGUGCUUUGGGAUCAGGCCUCUUUUUUUUUUUUUUUUUUUUUUUUCUUUAUCAUCUCCAAGACUCAGUUCCUUUGCCUAUCUGCUUCAGGGUAACCAAACUGAUCUCACACGGUAGUUCUGAGAAUCGGAGGAGAUAACACUCAGAGCUAGCUGGAUGGAUGGCACAUGCAGGGUAGCUGGCAAGCAUGGUUCCAUAACCUGUUUAUUUUCUCUGUGAAAGGCAUUGUCUUAUCAUAAUUAGUUUAAGCCAGUGGACUUCAUGCAUUUUUUAAAAAAAAGGAAUUCUUUCCACACUUCCAAGUUUGUGGACCAUUACAACCCCCAACCUUCAUGGCAGACUAGAAGGUUUUUAAAAAUGUUCAUAACAAUGGCUUAUUGAGCAAGCACUGCAAAUGAACCAGACAGCUGAGAAGGUUUUCCAGAUAAUCCCCACCUCAAAUCUAGUGACGCCUGCUCUGAUUGAUCGGGACACUUGUCUCCAUUCCCUACCUCAUCUUGCCCACUGCUGACCUAGUUGUCUCACAGAUCCUUUGGUUAAUAUUCUUUAAAACAUAUAGUGUUGAUUCAUGAUUUAUUGCAGGUUGUACAGAGCCAACUCAAAGAUCCUUUAAAGGAAAAAGAAUGGCUAGAUCUCUUGUCGCCACUCAGAUGCUAGUUUUUCAAAGAAGUGAAAUCUGGGGCAAAAACCAGAAUAGUCUCGCUAGCUCAUAAGUCCUUGGAAAAGCCAGAAACAUAGUGCUCUUUGUUACCUCAUUUGGUUUGUAUCACGCCUUCAUUAAGGGCUCAAGACAUAUAGGAGAACUAACUACCAGUUUGCAAGGAGAAAAGUGAAGCUCAGAGAGGUUAGGAGAUUGGUCCAUGGUCACACAGGAAAGCUAUGUAUGGUCCAUGUGAACCAUAAUCCAAAUCUCCAGAUUUCAGAGACUUUUGAGAACGCUUGAGAGGCCUCCUCCUAUCCUUUGGGGAGGGUCCAGUUUCACAAGAAAUAGCUUAUGCCCUGACAGCCUCAUGAAAUUUAAGGAAUGCUAGAGGACCAUCUUUCCUCCCUCUCUACCCCCUUCAGCCAGAAGAAUUCCUCCCACUUAGAUGCCUGAAGUGAUUCAUUCCUUGGAGGAUUCCCAAUUACAGGUCCAAAGAUGAUCUGAGACUGGUUGCACACUGAGUCAGUAUGUCUGGGGUAGAACCCAAAUAUUCAUAUUUCCUAAAAGCUCCCCAGGUAAUACACAGCCAGUUUUAAGAACCCCUGCUUUAAAUCGAGCCUUGCAUCCCCAGCUGCCCUGUUUUGAAAAGGAAGGACACCUGGGAAGAAUAAGCCAUGGAAUGGCAGGAAACUUAAUGCAAAAAUUUCCGAGUCUUAAGAGAUGGCCCUCAACACAUUGAGCAAAUACAGCAAUGCUAAUCACACUUCUGGCCUUCUUACAGAUUCACAGUUUAUAGUACACUUUAAAAAAAAAUUUUUAAUGUAAUCUCUACACCCAGUAUGGGACUCAAACUCAUGACCGUUAAAAAAAAACUCAUGACCUUGAGAUCAACAGUCACAUGUUCUAACUGAGCCAGUCAGGGGCCUCAUUUUCUCUCCUUUUUUUUAAGGCUCAUGGAAUUCUUUUCUUUUCUUUUUAAGAGUUUAUUUUUAUUUAUGAGAGACACAGAGAGAGAGAUAGAGGCAGAGACACAGGCAGAGGGAGAAGCAGGCUCCAUGCAGGGAGCCUGGUGUGGGACUUGAUCACAGAACUCCAGGAUCACACCCCAGGCCAAAGGCAGGCACUAAACUGCUGAGCCACCAGGGCUGCCCAGCUCUUGGAAUUCUUAAUAAAACCUGGUUAGCACAGAGUUUCA
rnacentral:lncRNA from 12 species